rnacentral:lncRNA from 1 species
AGAGCAAAGGGAAGGGCACAGAGAGUGUGCAGGGUGGUCCUUGUCCCUGCCCAAGCUGCAAGAGGCUCUGCGAAGGUCCCUCCUGCCCCUGUCCACCUUGCACAGUCCUAGCCGGGGGAGGAGGGGAGAAAUCUGGCGUGCCAGGAGCUGGCAACUGCCCAGCCCUUCCUGGAUGUGGGACUGAGGAGUCCGUCCUGAACCGAAGCAUGAUCCUGUUAGCUCUUCCAGCUCUCCAGGCGCCAACGACCAUAUGGUCUCGGUGACCCAGGCCUGCCCAGACGGAAGCCAUUCAGACCCAGAGCCACGUGUCCUGGGUCUCCCUGCCCCGGGCCACCCGCCACCACACCCCAGAGCUUGCUCACCACCGGGAGGCGCUCUUGUCCUGGACCAGCCUAGCCUGGGUUGGGACCUCCAGCCAGGCCAGUCAGCGAGCCACCAGCCCCACCAGAGUGGAAUGACAGCCAGGACUCAGCUGGCAGCGGGCAGGAGCUCCCCACCCGGGCUCACCUUCAGACCAGCGGCAGCGCUCACCCACCACGCCUGCCAGGGAAGCUCAGUCCCAACAGAAUCCAGAGAGGGCCCACCACAUGUGCCUGCCUGUGACGGCCUGUGACAGGGCCCCAGCCAGGGCCAACGAGCUGGAGGGGCCCAAGGAGCUGGGUGCAGCGCUGGGGUAACAGGACAGCCCCACGGGGUGCUCC